UACGGAGGGUGCAAGCGUUGUUCGGAAUCAUUGGGCGUAAAGCGCGUGUAGGCGGCUUGGUAAGGCGGGUGUGAAAGCCCGGGGCUUAACCCCGGAACUGCAUUCGAAACUGCCUCGCUAGAGUCCCGGAGGGGAAGGCGGAAUUCACGGUGUAGAGGUGAAAUUCGUAGAUAUCGGGAGGAACAGCCGUAGCGAAGGCGGCCUUCUGGACGGUGACUGACGCUGAGACGCGAAAGCGUGGGGAGCAAACAGG
rnacentral:rRNA from 1 species